UUAAUAGAAUACAUAGUUUAAUCCGCGAUCUUCUUAAACACGGGAGUUAAAGUAUGUUCAUCUUCAACAUGAAAAUUUAGUGAACGCGAACAAGCUUGACUUCAAAAACUAAGGUAGAAUUCUUGGGAAUUCCUGGAAUGCUCUGGUUGCCGUAAGCCAUGGGAGCAGGAAUUGUAAUCUUACGCUCACCGCCUUCUUGCAUUCCAGCAACGCCGACGUCCCACCCGCGAAUAACCUCACCACGACCAAGGAUAAAAGCAAAGGGUUUACC